AGAGAGAGACAUGCGCGCAUAUCAAUAAGCGGAGGAAAAGAAACUAACAAGGAUUCCCCUAGUAACGGCGAGUGAAGCGGGAAGAGCUCAAAUUUGAAAUCUUAAAGGGUUUCCCUUUACGAAUUGUAGUUUAAAGAAGUGUUUUCUGUUGAGGUUUUGGUAAAAGUUCUUUGGAAUAGGACAUCAUAGAGGGUGAGAAUCCCGUAUUUGACCUUUACUUUCAACUUUGUGAUACACUUUCAAAGAGUCGGAUUGUUUGGGAAUGCAGUCCAAAAUGGGUGGUAAAUUUCAUCUAAAGCUAAAUAUUGGCGAGAGACCGAUAGCGAACAAGUACCGUGAGGGAAAGAUGAAAAGAACUUUGAAAAGAGAGUUAAACAGUACGUGAAAUUGUCAGAAGGGAAGCGUUUGACACCAGUGUUGUUUUUCUGAAAAUCAAUUAAAGAACUGUUUAUGCUAAGUUGUUUAGACUUUAUCAGCUAACUGUUUAGUUUUGAGCUUUUCUUUAAUGCACUUUUCAGUUAACAAGUCAACAUCAAUUUCUUUUGCUGUAAAAAAGCUUGAGGAAGGUGGCUUGAGAUUCGUCUUAAGUGUUUAUAGCCUCUUGCCUAUGCAGUCGGAGAGAUUGAGGUCUGCAGCGUAGAUCCUUCGGGGCUAAAUGCAUUUGUGCUAAGUUAUAGCAUUUUAUAGACAACUUGUUGACUAUGAUUUGUCUUGUAGCUUACUCGCUUAUGUUAUUUUACCUACGCUUAGGAUGUUGAGCGCAUGUCUCUCUCU
rnacentral:rRNA from 1 species